rnacentral:rRNA from 1 species
GUCCACGCCCUAAACGAUGCCUGUUUGCUGUUUCGAGUAUCGACCCUCGGAGCGGCGGAGCUAACGCGUUAAACAGGCCGCCUGGGAAGUACGAGCGCAAGCUUAAAACUCAAAGGAAUAGACGGGGACUCGCACAAGCGGUGGAACAUGAGGUUUAAUUCGAUAGUAAGCGAAGAACCUUACCAGGGCUUGAAAUACUUUUGGAAAGCUGCCGGAAACGGUGGCCCUCUCUCAAGGACCGAAAGUACAGGUGCUGCAUGGUUGUCGU